AGUGAACGCUGGCGGUAGGCCUAACACAUGCCAGUCGAACGGCAGCACAGUAAGAGCUUGCUCUUACGGGUGGCGAGUGGCGGACGGGUGAGGAAUACAUCGGAAUCUACUUUUUCGUGGGGGAUACCGUAGGGAAACUUACGCUAAUACCGCAUACGACCUACGGGUGAAAGCAGGGGAUCUUCGGACCUUGCGCGAUUGAAUGAGCCGAUGUCGGAUUAGCUAGUUGGCGGGGUAAAGGCCCACCAAGGCGACGAUCCGUAGCUGGUCUGAGAGGAUGAUCAGCCACACGGGAACUGAGACACGGUCCAGACUCCUACGGGAGGCAGCAGUGGGGAAUAUUGGACAAUGGGCGCAAGCCUGAUCCAGCCAUACCGCGUGGGUGAAGAAGGCCUUCGGGUUGUAAAGCCCUUUUGUUGGGAAAGAAAAGCAGCAGGUUAAUACCCCGCUGUUCUGACGGUACCCAAAGAAUAAGCACCGGCUAACUUCGUG
rnacentral:rRNA from 1 species